rnacentral:misc_RNA from 1 species
ACGGAAGUAAUCACUUCUAAUACCUAGAGGUGCAGUGAGCAGUAUAUCAGUAAUCCAUGGAGACAACGGCCUCAGCGUUUUCCUCUCAUGAUGCACUGAAGGCAUACUAGGUCCACUAUCAGCAGAUUUACUUGUUGAAGCAUCGAUUCCUUGGCUACUUCUGUCUGCUUCGCCACCCUGUUGCACAACUUUGUAGAUCGGACGGUUGUAAUGUGUCAAAAUUCGUAGAAUCUCUCCACAUGCAAGAGCCCACUGUUCUGAAUAUUCCUUCUCACUGCUUGGGCAAACCAAUGAUAUAAAAGAAGCGAAAGGUGGACAACUUUUAUCAUAGUCCAGUGUGCCAUCGAUGAUGCAUGAAAUAAUUGGAAGAAUUACAGUAUGCCCAUGCUCUGGGUGGUGAAGAACAAAAGUCGCUAAAACAUCAUCAAAAAGACGGUUUUCCUUGGAUGGAUACCGGUUCCGUAUCAGCUCAGCUAUAUCUUCAGGAAAUUGUUCUGAUGUGAACUGAACAAAGUACUCAACAUAGGCAGUAAUUUGAGCCUUCCGUUGUUGUGCAUCUUGAGGGGGAGGCCAAAAUAUUGAAGAGUAUUGAAGGCCAUCAAUCCACCUCUCGCAUGUAGCGGCCAUAUAACUGCUGUCAAUCCAAGAAUUUUAUCGAUAUGAGAGGAUGCUCACAGAUUAGGCCAUCAAGUACCACUAUGACCACUACCAAUCUAGGAUCCACAGAUUGUAAUUUCAACAUCUAGGAUCCUAGCAAAGGAUGGUCCAGAACUUCUAACGAGCAAAACCACCUCAGAGCUUCAAGAUAUCUCUGAAAUAAUAUGCAGGUUACGGAAAUGUAAAUUCCGUAAUUAAAUAGUAAGCAGAUACUAACUACAACAUAUGACUAUUUGUCCUGAAAUUUGAAGAUGAAAUUUGAAGAAGAUUGUUUUGGUUGGAGGAAAAAAGUAGAGAGAGAAAAGAAA